rnacentral:lncRNA from 1 species
ACCCAUCAAUUAUCAUGUACAUCUACCCAUGUCUCUUCGUCAUAGAUGUAAAAAGUGUUCCACAAAUAAGUAGUGUUCUGCCAUGAAAAACAAAAUUUGAUGUAAAAAGUAUUCCACAAUAAAGUUAUUACAAUAAUUACUACCAUUAAGGUGUUAUUAAUAAUUUAUUGUUGAAGCUCUUAACCCACUUUCACCUCCUACUCACCCCCAUCAUAUGAUAUAACGAUUAUUCAGUGUAAGAAGCAAUAUUUAUGCAGCUAGCAGCUAGAGAGGAAGAAGCUUAUAGGUUACAAACAAUAUAUAAUUCAAUAUUUAUGCUUAAUUAGAAGCUCAUAAAAUAUGUUAGCCAUUGGGAUAAAGGGAUAGAUAGGAAAUGAAUACGUCUAAUUAGCAGCAUGAUUGACAAUAAUUAAUAAUUUUUUUUUUC